CCUGUUUGUUGAAGAAACAAUAAAAUGUUAUCCAGCCCGUUCACAAAAAUAGGGAAGCAUGAUCAUUAAAACCAAAACAUCAAGAUGAAGCCAUCAAAUGUACCUUCGGAACUUGCUUUUUGGGUUUCUCAUUGGACUCCGAGCCAUCAACAGGUACUAACUGCAGAUUGCUAUCAUCUGCAUCUUUCACCUCUAGUUGUGUUUUAGUUUUGCAAUUUGCACACAACAAUACUGUUUCUGAUAUCUCAUAAUCUUGAGGAAAAGUUUGCACGCCCACAUCAACUUUGUCAACAAGCAGAAUCGGCUUAGAUUCUUCAGGCUUAUAGGAAAAUCUGAAGGAAGAUCGCCUCAAUACAGAACUCCUGCAAUGACUAUCAAUAAUUUCCAUGCCACGAUGAAGGCUGGCCGCUAAAUGUUCAGUUGAUGCAAGGAAACUCUUACUGGUUUGAGGAAUUAGAGCAGUUGAAGGUUCGGAUUUUGCAGAGGAUAUACGGUUCUCUGGUCCU
rnacentral:lncRNA from 1 species